GAUGAAGAACGUAGCGAAAUGCGAUAAGUAAUGUGAAUUGCAAAUUCAGUGAAUCAUCGAGUCUUUGAACGCACAUUGCGCCCCCUGGUAUUCCGGGGGGCAUGCCUGUCCGAGCGUCAUUGCUGCCCUCAAGCACGGCUUGUGUGUUGGGCCCCGUCCUCCGAUCCCGGGGGACGGGCCCGAAAGGCAGCGGCGGCACCGCGUCCGGUCCUCGAGCGUAUGGGGCUUUGUCACCCGCUCUGUAGGCCCGGCCGGCGCUUGCCGAUCAACCCAAAUUUUUUAUCCAGGUUGACCUCGGAUCAGGUAGGGAUACCCGCUGAACUUAAGCAUAUCAAUAAGCGAGGA
rnacentral:misc_RNA from 1 species